rnacentral:lncRNA from 1 species
AUGCUCAUGAUGCUACGCCAGCCUGCAGGUGGUCCCCUGGGGCCUGGCCACCAAAGACGUUGUGUGAUCAUGGCAACUCAGGGGCUACAAGAUAGUGGAAUUAAUGAAUGGUAAAAAAAAAAAUGUAUAGGCUAGUAUCUAGAAUCUAGAUCCUAGAUGACAUUGGGAAUUUGAUUAGGGUACUAGGUCUGGUUUACCAUGAAUAAUACUCAGUUUUCCUUUUAAUUGGCAGGAUUCCAGGACCAAAACCCCUCACCACCAACUGUUUAGUCUGGCUAUAAGAAAAUGGAUACAUUUUAUUCUGAAAAAGACCAGGAGUCAUGCCCUUGUGACCUUGAGACUGCACUCAGGCAGCGUGCAGUGCAGCAGGGAGUCUUCUCCAGCCCCAUCAACUGGUGAGCACUUUCUUGCUUGGGGUGCAGGAGAGAGUAGUUGGCCAGCAUAUCAAGGACUAUUAGUUGGAGCAGGAGGAGUUGGAGCUACCUAAUGGAGCUGCAAAAGAUCUGAGGCCCUUGCACAUGCAGGUAGUACCCAGUCUUUCUCUAAGGUCCAAAGUCAAAUAGAAGAUGAUCCACUCCUCCCUAUUAUCUGACGUCUGUUUCACACGGUGUCUUGUUUUGUUUUUGCUUUAUUUUUACAUUAAAAUAACUCAGAGAAUUCACUCUGAUCUGAUUUUACAGAGAAAUAAAUGGGAAUAGAAAGAAACA